GGAAUAUUGGUCAAUGGACGAGAGUCUGAACCAGCCAAGUAGCGUGCAGGAUGACGGCCCUAUGGGUUGUAAACUGCUUUUAUCAGGGGAUAAAGUGCGGCACGCGUGCCGUUUUGUAGGUACCUGAUGAAUAAGGACCGGCUAAUUCCGUGCCAGCAGCCGCGGUAAUACGGAAGGUCCGGGCGUUAUCCGGAUUUAUUGGGUUUAAAGGGAGCGCAGGCCGGAGGUCAAGCGUGACGUGAAAUGUAGGGGCUCAACCUUUGAAUUGCGUCGCGAACUGGCUUUCUUGAGUGAGUACGACGUCAGCGGAAUUCGUGGUGUAGCGGUGAAAUGCUUAGAUAUCACGAAGAACCCCGAUUGCGAAGGCAGCUGACGAGUCCUUAACUGACGCUAAAGCUCGAAGGUGCGGGUAUCGAACA
rnacentral:rRNA from 1 species